CGUGGCGGCAUGGAUUAGGCAUGCAAGUCGAGCGAGAAGGGUUUGGUGCUUGCAUUGGACCUGGAAAGCGGCGCAAGGGAGAGUAACGCGUAGAUAUCUGCCCCUAGGUCUGGUAUAGCGUCGGGAAACUGGCGGUAAUACCGGAUAAUGUCCCCGGACCAAAGGUGUGAUUCCGCCUAGGGAUGAGUCUGCGUCCUACUAGCUUGUUGGUGGGGUAAUGGCCUACCAAGGCUCUGAUGGGUAGCGGGCGUGAGAGCGUGGCCCGUCUCACUGGGACUGAGACACUGCCCAGACACCUACGGGUGGCUGCAGUCGAGAAUCUUCCGCAAUGGACGCAAGUCUGACGGAGCGAUGCCGCGUGCGGGAUGAAGGCCUUCGGGUUGUAAACCGCUGUCAGUGAGGUGGAAAUGCAUGAAGGUUAUCCUUCAUGUUUGACCUAAUCGCAGAGGAAGUCCGGGCUAAGUUCGUGCCAGCAGCCGCGGUAACACGAACCGGACAAGCGUNAUUCGGAAUUACUGCGCUUAAAGAGUACGUAGGCGGCUACACAAGUUGGGUGUGAAAUCCCACGGCU
rnacentral:rRNA from 1 species